GGAGUUGUGCCCGAAUGCCUAAAGGACCACUUUGAUAGAGUGACUAAUGAAGGCUAAAAUCCUUCCAACUCCU
rnacentral:tRNA from 1 species